rnacentral:rRNA from 1 species
UACGUAGGUGGCAAGCGUUGUCCGGAAUUACUGGGUGUAAAGCGCGUGUAGGCGGGAGGCCAAGUCUGCUGUGAAAUCGCCCGGCUCAACUGGGCGGGGUCGGUGGAAACUGGUCACCUGGAGGACGGUAGAGGCGAGUGGAAUUCCCGGUGUAGUGGUGAAAUGCGUAGAGAUCGGGAGGAACACCAGUGGCGAAGGCGGCUCGCUGGGCCGGACCUGACGCUGAGACGCGAAAGCUAGGGUAGCAAACGGG